rnacentral:lncRNA from 1 species
AAACACCUUCAGAGGAAAACUGUGUAUUUUCCAUGAAAUCGUUGCCUAGGAAACAAUGAUUUCAUCUUAUUUUUGGCAUAGAACUGUAGGUGUAUAAAAGCUCUGAAUCAGUCCGCACACAAGAUGAGUGCUGAUAUUUAUGAAGCCAGCAAGACAGUAUGGGUGCUUCUAAUUUGUGGUCUCCAGAGAGGAAAUUUUGUCUAAGAAUUUUUUUUUUGAGAGAUCAGUUGGACAAGAACAUCCCUUCAAGUUACUAGAAGAAGAAUGGACCUUUUUGAUGUCACUGUUAUUCCAGAAAGAAUCUCUGGCAUGCUCCCCUCCAGCUAACGUCAGAAAGAAAAGGGGGCCCUUGCAAAUCACUCCAGCAAAAAAAAGUUAGAGACCAAGACAUGACUGCAAGCACAAAGGUGGACAUAUGCCCAAGACUUGCCAAUCAUUUUAUCCCCUGAACCUAGACAUUAUGGUCAUCUGGUCAUAAAAUGUGUUCAAAGAUAAAUGCCUCCAUUGCCUUCCAAUAAAUCCCUCUUCUACCUAUUUUAUUAAUUUAUU